CUGGGCGCCAAGCCUGAAGGCAAGCAGGGAAGAGGUUCUCAUCGGGGAGAACGUAAGUGCCUGGUGUUUGAGGAACAUUAAGAGACUUUUGGCCUGGAGACACUGAUGUGACAGACCCGGCUGGCCAGUACGCGGGCCUCUCCCGUUGUGGAGCACAGGCUCCGGACACGCAGGCUCACGGGCCCAGCCACUCCGCGGCAUGUGGGAUCUUCCCAGACCGGGGCACGAACCUGAGUCCCCUGCAUCGGCAGGCGGACUCUCAACCACUGCACCACCAGGAUCUCUCUCUCCUGACCCUCAUUGGUUGUUGCUUCUUUUGAGAAGACUCCUUUCUCCCAAGCAUACCUGAUAACUCCAAAGAAAAUUACAUGACAAUAUCUCCAUACCUUAAAAAA